rnacentral:rRNA from 1 species
UACGGGGGGGGCAAGCGUUGUUCGGAAUUACUGGGCGUAAAGGGCUCGUAGGCGGCCAACUAAGUCAGACGUGAAAUCCCCAGGCUCAACCUGGGAACUGCGUCUGAGACUGGAUGGCUUGAAUCCGGGAGAGGGAUGCAGAAUUCCAGGUGUAGCGGUGAAAUGCGUAGAUAUCUGGAGGAAUACCGGUGGCGAAGGCGGCAUCCUGGACCGGCAUUGACGCUGAGGAGCGAAAGCCAGGGGAGCAAACGGG